rnacentral:misc_RNA from 1 species
AACAGAGACCUAUAUACAAGGACAAAACACCCUCACACAUGCUCUAUUCUUUUUGAAAUAAAUGCUUCCAAAGAUAACUUAUCUCACAUGGAUAUAAUUCAAUUUAAAUAUAUUUAUCUACUACUUCAAAUCAUUUGUUGGAUAAAGGAAACAGUGUGUGGUUGUUGUAAUGACAAUUAUUGGUGCGAUGGAGAUCCUAGCUUCAAGUUAACACCCUCUGCAAGCCAAGGAAUAUCUGAUAACUUUGUUCUCAUACGAUGGAGUUCCUCUUAUUUGGAUCUUUCUAAGUGUGUCGACUAUUUCUUUAUUGAAUAUUUUGAAGAACUCAUAGGGAAGAACAAGAGUAGAAAGAUCUCCCCCGUCAAUGUUGACAAAGUUAAAUCCCUUAAUGAUUGGACUGCAGUAAUCGAAGAUGAUUUGGAUGUCAAUUAUAAGGCCAACAUCAGUGUCAAACCUAAUACACAGUAUAUCUUUACAGUGCUUUACUUUAAGGUUUUUGCCAUUGACAAAGGGGCGGGUUGGGGGGAAUUGGAAGGGACUGCUUAUGUUUCUUCAGAUCAUAUUAAACUUACAACAAAUACGAAUGCCCCCAAAACCAUAUCAAAAACUUCUAUCGCACAGGAUGAACCAGAGUCAAAACUGAGGGAUUCAGUAGAACAAUGGGUUUUCCAAUUGAUAAAAAAGAGAUUGUGGAAUUCCCAUGAUAAAAAUAACUAUAAGUUUUCCCCUGAUAUUUGGAUCAAAAAUGGAGAUCGAAUUCAAAGAUAUGAGGAAGGGAAAAUAUUUGGUUUGAGAAGACCAACAUUUGAAGUAUCCAAAUUGUCAAAUGAAAAUGAUUAUAUCAAUGUAAACGUAACGCUAAAGUUCCCUUAUCUUCGAACCACCUAUGUUUGGAGAUCUUUUAUUAGUGCUGGAGUCAUCACACUUUAUCAUACAUGUGGGAAAAAACUUCCGCUAGGAUCCUUUCUUAUAAGUCGUAAAUUAGAAGAUGUAAAAAGUGUUCUCAAGCUUUCUCAAUGUUCAUCCUUACCAGCUACGGUAUCCCUUCGAAUUCCUCAAAAUCUAACAUCCCAAUCAAGACAUUUACAUUUCGAUGAUUAUGAUGUACUAAGUCAAGAUUUCCAUAUUUCUAACGAGGAAUUUGCUUUUGAUGUUCCCUGGUUAUUUUCACAUUUCCAUAACCUCUCCGCUCUAUGGAAUCAACAAAAAGUGAUACUACGUAAUAAAAUCCUAGUACAACUUGAGAAAGUUUUUUGAAAGUGAAAACAAAAAUAUAUCAAUGAAUCAUAAGAAAUAGAAAAAAAUCAACAAAACACUUGAAGAACAUUUUUUGUAAACAAAAUGGAUACAAAGAUAGAUAGAUAGAAAAAAUGGACUAUAGAAAUAACAUAAAUAAAAGACUGUAAUUUGAAGAAACCACAUGGAGGAAAUGGAGGCACAAAAUAAUGAUUCCUCUGGAAAAAGAAAUUAUAACUGAUAUUGAUUAUUAUUAAUAUAGAGACUAAUCUAAGAUUAUUUAUCUAUUUACUACAUACUUUGGAUCUUUACAAAGAAAAAUAAAUAAAAGAAACACUAUUAUUAAUGAUUAAAUAAUGGGCUGCCUUGGAUACAAAAAUCAAUGAGGAAAGAAUAAAAGCCAAUUACUAUACAAUUGAUAAAAAACAUGGGGAAAAAAGUCAACGUUUUGGAUUUUGAGAUUUCGAUAUGAUCAGAAGCUUGAUCAUAUCUAACCAAAAGAAGUUCAGAAAGGUGUUAAAUGAUUUUUUUGACAAAUCAGAUAAAGUAUCAUUUAACAAAAUUCAGAGGUCCUUCUUGAUUGUGAUGUCAUACAAAGUUGAAAUUAUCAUCUAAUGGAAAAUUUUGUUUGGUACUAUCUAUCUCCAGGAUAUUGAAAGUUGAAUAUAAAUUAAUUGGAACCAAUAAAUUAUUUUGAAUCAUGCACAUGUCUUAUAUUUUAUAAAAUUGUAAAUACGGGGCAAUUUACUUUCAGUGAUAUUUACAGCAGAAAAAAAUAUACAAAUUCUGAUCA